rnacentral:rRNA from 1 species
CCUACGGGGGGCAGCAGUGAGGAAUAUUGGUCAAUGGGCGCUAGCCUGAACCAGCCAAGUAGCGUGAAGGAUGACUGCCCAAUGGGUUGUAAACUUCUUUUAUAUGGGAAUAAAGUGCAGUAUGUAUACUGCUUUGCAUGUACCUUAUGAAUAAGGAUCGGCUAACUCCGUGCCAGCAGCCGCGGUAAUACGGAGGAUCCGAGCGUUAUCCGGAUUUAUUGGGUUUAAAGGGAGCGUAGGCGGGUUGUUAAGUCAGUUGUGAAAGUUUGCGGCUCAACCCUCAAAUUGCAGUUGAUACUGGCAGCCUUGAGUACAGUAGAGGUAGGCGGAAUUCGUGGUGUAGCGGUGAAAUGCAUAGAUAUCACGAAGAACUCCGAUUGCGAAGGCAGCCUGCUGGACUGUCACUGACGCUGAUGCACGAAAGUGUGGGUAUCAAACAGGAUUAGAUACCCUAGUAGUC